rnacentral:rRNA from 1 species
AUUGAACGCUGGCGGCAGGCCUAACACAUGCAAGUCGAGCGGAUGAAGGGAGCUUGCUCCUGGAUUCAGCGGCGGACGGGUGAGUAAUGCCUAGGAAUCUGCCUGGUAGUGGGGGAUAACGUCCGGAAACGGGCGCUAAUACCGCAUACGUCCUGAGGGAGAAAGUGGGGGAUCUUCGGACCUCACGCUAUCAGAUGAGCCUAGGUCGGAUUAGCCAGUUGGUGGGGUAAAGGCCUACCAAGGCGACGAUCCGUAACUGGUCUGAGAGGAUGAUCAGUCACACUGGAACUGAGACACGGUCCAGACUCCUACGGGAGGCAGCAGUGGGGAAUAUUGGACAAUGGGCGAAAGCCUGAUCCAGCCAUGCCGCGUGUGUGAAGAAGGUCUUCGGAUUGUAAAGCACUUUAAGUUGGGAGGAAGGGCAGUAAGUUAAUACCUUGCUGUUUUGACGGUACCAACAGAAUAAGCACCGGCUAACUUCGUG